AUUGAACGCUGGCGGCAGGCCUAACACAUGCAAUUCGAGCGGAUGAAGGGAGCUUGCUCCUGGAUUCAGCGGCGGACGGGUGAGUAAUGCCUAGGAAUCUGCCUGGUAGUGGGGGAUAACGUCCGGAAACGGGCGCUAAUACCGCAUACGUCCUGAGGGAGAAAGUGGGGGAUCUUCGGACCUCACGCUAUCAGAUGAGCCUAGGUCGGAUUAGCUAGUUGGUGGGGUAAAGGCCUACCAAGGCGACGAUCCGUAGCUGGUCUGAGAGGAUGAUCAGUCACACUGGAACUGAGACACGGUCCAGACUCCUACGGGAGGCAGCAGUGGGGAAUAUUGGACAAUGGGCGAAAGCCUGAUCCAGCCAUGCCGCGUGUGUGAAGAAGGUCUUCGGAUUGUAAAGCACUUUAAGUUGGGAGGAAGGGCAGUAAGUUAAUACCUUGCUGUUUUGACGUUACCAACAGAAUAAGCACCGGCUAACUUCGUG
rnacentral:rRNA from 1 species